GGGCCGGACAUGUCGGACCGGAUAACCGGCUCAAUUUAACAACCUUCCAUCGACUGUACUUAGUACGAAAUAACUCCACCUGAUUUUAAAUGGAAAGGGGUAUCCAAACGCGAAGGAAAACAGUGCAGUGUUCAUGCAGUCGCUGCCCUCCUAGCCAUCUCCAUCCUGGAUGCCCACAAGAUGCCUCUUCGCGUGCAACGCCGUAGGAGGUCCAUCGGAGAGCGAAGCCCGAAGCGUCCGCACUCCACCGUACGUAGAUAGUGUAUGGAGGCUCUGUACAAGAUCUCGCAAUUGUUAAAAAU